AUUGAACGCUGGCGGCAGGCCUAACACAUGCAAGUCGAGCGGAGCGUCAGACGGGUGAGUAAUGCCUAGGAAUCUGCCUGGUAGUGGGGGAUAACGUCCGGAAACGGGCGCUAAUACCGCAUACUCUCAGAUGAGCCUAGGUCGGAUUAGGUGGUUGGUGGGGUAAAGGCCUACCAAGGCGACGAUCCGUAACUGGUCUGAGAGGAUGAUCAGUCACACUGGAACGGAGACACGGUCCAGACGACUAGGGGCGGCAGCAGUGGGGAAUAGUGGACAAUGGGCGAAAGCCUGAUCCAGCCAUGCCGCGAGUGUGAAGAAGGUCUUCGGAUUGUAAAGCACUUUAAGUUGGGAGGCGUUACCAACAGAAUAAGUACCGGCUAACUUCGUGCCAGCCGCCGCGGUAAUUC
rnacentral:rRNA from 1 species